rnacentral:rRNA from 1 species
UGCCUAAUACAUGCAAGUAGAACGCUGAAGAGAGGAGCUUGCUCUUCUUGGAUGAGUUGCGAACGGGUGAGUAACGCGUAGGUAACCUGCCUUGUAGCGGGGGAUAACUAUUGGAAACGAUAGCUAAUACCGCAUAACAAUGGAUGACACAUGUCAUUUAUUUGAAAGGGGCAAUUGCUCCACUACAAGAUGGACCUGCGUUGUAUUAGCUAGUAGGUGAGGUAACGGCUCACCUAGGCGACGAUACAUAGCCGACCUGAGAGGGUGAUCGGCCACACUGGGACUGAGACACGGCCCAGACUCCUACGGGAGGCAGCAGUAGGGAAUCUUCGGCAAUGGGGGCAACCCUGACCGAGCAACGCCGCGUGAGUGAAGAAGGUUUUCGGAUCGUAAAGCUCUGUUGUAAGUCAAGAACGAGUGUGAGAGUGGAAAGUUCACACUGUGACGGUAGCUUACCAGAAAGGGACGGCUAACUACGUGCCAGCAGCCGCGGUAAUACGUAGGUCCCGAGCGUUGUCCGGAUUUAUUGGGCGUAAAGCGAGCGCAGGCGGUUUGAUAAGUCUGAAGUUAAAGGCUGUGGCUCAACCAUAGUUCGCUUUGGAAACUGUCAAACUUGAGUGCAGAAGGGGAGAGUGGAAUUCCAUGUGUAGCGGUGAAAUGCGUAGAUAUAUGGAGGAACACCGGUGGCGAAAGCGGCUCUCUGGUCUGUAACUGACGCUGAGGCUCGAAAGCGUGGGGAGCGAACAGGAUUAGAUACCCUGGUAGUCCACGCCGUAAACGAUGAGUGCUAGGUGUUGGAUCCUUUCCGGGAUUCAGUGCCGCAGCUAACGCAUUAAGCACUCCGCCUGGGGAGUACGACCGCAAGGUUGAAACUCAAAGGAAUUGACGGGGGGCCCGCACAAGCGGUGGAGCAUGUGGUUUAAUUCGAAGCAACGCGAAGAACCUUACCAGGUCUUGACAUCCCGAUGCUAUUUCUAGAGAUAGAAAGUUACUUCGGUACAUCGGUGACAGGUGGUGCAUGGUUGUCGUCAGCUCGUGUCGUGAGAUGUUGGGUUAAGUCCCGCAACGAGCGCAACCCCUAUUGUUAGUUGCCAUCAUUCAGUUGGGCACUCUAGCGAGACUGCCGGUAAUAAACCGGAGGAAGGUGGGGAUGACGUCAAAUCAUCAUGCCCCUUAUGACCUGGGCUACACACGUGCUACAAUGGUUGGUACAACGAGUUGCGAGUCGGUGACGGCAAGCUAAUCUCUUAAAGCCAAUCACAGUUCGGAUUGUAGGCUGCAACUCGCCUACAUGAAGUCGGAAUCGCUAGUAAUCGCGGAUCAGCACGCCGCGGUGAAUACGUUCCCGGGCCUUGUACACACCGCCCGUCACACCACGAGAGUUUGUAACACCCGAAGUCGGUGAGGUAACCUUUUGGAGCCAGCCGCCUAAGGUGGGAUAGAUGAUUGGGGUGAAGUC